rnacentral:rRNA from 2 species
UGGUGGGUAGUUUGACUGGGGCGGUCUCCUCCCAAAGCGUAACGGAGGAGCACGAAGGUUAGCUAAUCCUGGUCGGACAUCAGGAGGUUAGUGCAAUGGCAUAAGCUAGCUUGACUGCGAGCGUGACGGCGCGAGCAGGUGCGAAAGCAGGUCAUAGUGAUCCGGUGGUUCUGAAUGGAAGGGCCAUCGCUCAACGGAUAAAAGGUACUCCGGGGAUAACAGGCUGAUACCGCCCAAGAGUUCAUAUCGACGGCGGUGUUUGGCACCUCGAUGUCGGCUCAUCACAUCCUGGGGCUGAAGUAGGUCCCAAGGGUAUGGCUGUUCGCCAUUUAAAGUGGUACGCGAGCUGGGUUUAGAACGUCGUGAGACAGUUCGGUCCCUAUCUGCCGUGGGCGCUGGAGAAUUGAGGGGGGCUGCUCCUAGUACGAGAGGACCGGAGUGGACGCAUCACUGGUGUUCGGGUUGUCAUGCCAAUGGCACUGCCCGGUAGCUAAAUGCGGAAGAGAUAAGUGCUGAAAGCAUCUAAGCACGAAACUU